rnacentral:rRNA from 1 species
AGCGCAGGCGGACCGGCAAGUUGGAAGUGAAAACUAUGGGCUCAACCCAUAAAUUGCUUUCAAAACUGCUGGCCUUGAGUAGUGCAGAGGUAGGUGGAAUUCCCGGUGUAGCGGUGGAAUGCGUAGAUAUCGGGAGGAACACCAGUGGCGAAGGCGACCUACUGGGCACCAACUGACGCUGAGGCUCGAAAGCAUGGGGUAGCAAACA